UGUGUAGGCGGUUGCUUAAGUUUGGUGUGAAAUCUCCCGGCUCAACUGGGAGGGUGCGCCGAAUACUGAGUGACUCGAGUGCGGGAGAGGAAAGUGGAAUUCCUGGUGUAGCGGUGAAAUGCGUAGAUAUCAGGAGGAACACCGGUGGUGUAGACGGCUUUCUGGACCGUAACUGACGCUGAGACACGAAAGCGUGGGUAGCAAACAGGAUUAGAUACCCUGGUAGUCCACGCCCUAAACGAUGCAUAUUUGGUGUGAGUCAUUCAGUUGAUUCGUGCCGGAGCUAACGCGUUAAAUAUGCCGCCGUGGGGAGUACAGUCGCAAGGCUAGAA
rnacentral:rRNA from 1 species